UUUAAUAUGGCAGAAUAAGUGCUAUGGUGUUAAAUACCAUAUAUGAAAUUUAAAUUUCUAUUAAAA
rnacentral:tRNA from 1 species